CAAUAGCGUAUAUUAAAGUUGUUGCAGUUAAAAAGCUCGUAGUUAGAUUUCUGGUGGGAGCGAUCGGUCUGGCGCUUAGCGCGAGUACUUGCAUCGUCUCCGGCCAUCCUUGGGGAGAGUCUGUCUGGCAUUAGGUUGUCGGGCAGAGGAUCCUCAUCGUUUACUGUGAAAAAAUUAGAGUGUUCAAAGCAGGCUUAUGCCGUUGAAUAUAUUAGCAUGGAAUAAUAAGAUAGGACUUUGGUACUAUUUUGUUGGUUUGUGCACCAAAGUAAUGAUUAAUAGGGACAGUUGGGGGUAUUCGUAUUCCGUUGUCAGAGGUGAAAUUCUUGGAUUUACGGAAGACGAACUACUGCGAAAGCAUUUACCAAGGAUGCUUUCAUUAA
rnacentral:rRNA from 1 species